rnacentral:lncRNA from 1 species
AACAGAGUAACUAUUUAUAGUGAAUGGGAUUAACAAAAAGAGUGCAUGUCUCAACAUGAAUUUAAUCAUGAUAAGUAAAGCAGGCGAGACAUUUCAUCUUGUGAAUUCUUGUGAAAAUAGGCACAAAAAUGGCAGGUAAAAAAAGCUGCAUUUAUUUCGCAAGUUUGAUAAUGGUAACUUUCUUAAUAUAAACCUGGUUUGCUGUCAUUUCUUUUAUGAUAUUAUUGAUCAUCUUGCUGCCAUUAGAUAUCCUAUUCAAAAGCAUCCGUGUUCUGCUAAAUUGAUUAUGUUUUCUCACUAAUUGUUGAAAAUUUGGUGACAAUGUUGAAAUCAUCUAUCUCAACGAAAUUGAAUGCAUGUUACCACAAUAACAAUUAAGUAUGUCUCAUAUUUUGACACACAUCUAGAAAAGGUCAAUAAGUGUCGGUUGAGAACUAAACUUUACGACAGGAGAGCUGAUCUCAUGUUCCAAAGUAUAUAGCAACAUUCCAGCAGCGCCUACAUAUGGAAUCUACAUCCCUAAGUUGUUACCAUAUUACAGAGCUUGAUUUGUAUCUUUGAUAGUGGGUAACUGCUUACAAAGAAUGGUUUCAAUGGUUCCAGUUGAAGUAAUUCCUUAGAAAAUUUAACCGGCAAUCAUGAUUUGGUUGUCCGUUAUUGGGAAUCUGUUUCACAGAUGACAAUUAUGUUUCAAUUGUCGACACCACAAUCACCCUUUCUCUUCGAAACGGUGAGACUUGUAACCAAAUUUGUACUAGCAUGAAUAACUGAAGGAUGCCACAAGUCAUGUAGGGCAAAAUCGUUUUAUUUUUGCAAUGCCGUUGUCAGAUUGUCUUUGAAUCAUGGGUUUGAAUAUCACCACAGUAUCUUCCUCCUCCCCUUAAUUGUUUUCUCGUUCUUGUUACGAAAGUAUUUUAACACUAGAACAAGAUUUGUCUGACAGUCCCACUUCAUGAUAUAAUUCAAGUGAACAAAUAUAGAAUGUGCAUCGAUUAUAGACGACUAAAUCAAUAAACAAUAAAAGAUUCACUACCUGUACCCAAAAAAUUUGGCACUUUCACUUAUAAUAAUGUAUCAUGCCAUAUGCAGUU